AGCGGCGGACGGGUGAGUAACGCGUGGGUAACCUGCCCUAUACACACGGACAACAUACCGAAAGGUAUGCUAAUACGAGAUAAUAUAAGAGAUUUACAUGGAUUUCUUAUCAAAGCUGAGGCGGUAUAGGAUGGACCCGCGUCUGAUUAGCUAGUUGGUAAGGUAACGGCUUACCAAGGCGACGAUCAGUAGCCGACCUGAGGGGGUGAUCGGCCACAUUGGAACUGAGACACGGUCCAAACUCCUACGGGAGGCAGCAGUGGGGAAUAUUGCACAAUGGGCGAAAGCCUGAUGCAGCAACGCCGCGUGAGUGAUGAAGGCCUUCGGGUCGUAAAACUCUGUCCUCAAGGAAGAUAAUGACGGUACCUGAGGAGGAAGCCCCGGCUAACUACGUGCCAGCAGCCGCGGUAAUACGUAGGGGGCUAGCGUUAUCCGGAUUUACUGGGCGUAAAGGGUGCGUAGGUGGUCUCUUAAGUCAGGAGUGAAAGGCUACAGCUUAACCGUAGUAAGCUCUUGAAACUGGGAGACUUGAGUGCAGGAGAGGAAAGUGGAAUUCCUAGUGUAGCGGUGAAAUGCGUAGAUAUUAGGAGGAACACCAGUAGCGGAGGCGGCUUUCUGGACUGUAACUGACACUGAGGCACGAAAGCGUGAGGAGCAAACAGGAUUAGAUACCCUGGUAGUCCACGCCGUAAACGAUGAGUACUAGGUGU
rnacentral:rRNA from 1 species